rnacentral:rRNA from 2 species
AGACCCGAAACCCGGUGAUCUAGCCAUGGGCAGGUUGAAGGUUGGGUAACACUAACUGGAGGACCGAACCGACUAAUGUUGAAAAAUUAGCGGAUGACCUGUGGCUGGGGGUGAAAGGCCAAUCAAACCGGGAGAUAGCUGGUUCUCCCCGAAAGCUAUUUAGGUAGCGCCUCGUGAAUUCAUCUCCGGGGGUAGAGCACUGUUUCGGCUAGGGGGCCAUCCCGGCUUACCAACCCGAUGCAAACUGCGAAUACCGGAGAAUGUUAUCACGGGAGACACACGGCGGGUGCUAACGUCCGUCGUGAAGAGGGAAACAACCCAGACCGCCAGCUAAGGUCCCAAAGUCAUGGUUAAGUGGGAAACGAUGUGGGAAGGCCCAGACAGCCAGGAUGUUGGCUUAGAAGCAGCCAUCAUUUAAAGAAAGCGUAAUAGCUCACUGGUCGAGUCGGCCUGCGCGGAAGAUGUAACGGGGCUAAACCAUGCACCGAAGCUGCGGCAGCGACACUCAGGUGUUGUUGGGUAGGGGAGCGUUCUGUAAGCCUGCGAAGGUGGCCUGUGAGGGUUGCUGGAGGUAUCAGAAGUGCG